GCCCUGGUGGCGGAAUUGGUAGACGCGCAGGUUUCAGGUACCUGUGGUGAAAGCCGUGGAGGUUCGAGUCCUCUCCAGGGCACCA
rnacentral:tRNA from 1 species